UUACGGUAAUAUCAUGUUGAAAUACCGGUUUCCAUAUGAUCACCAAAAUCAAGCAACGUCAAGUCUGUUCAGUACUUAGAUGGGUGACCGCAGAGGAAUACAAGUGCUGUAAGC